rnacentral:lncRNA from 1 species
GUGGGCUGCCUAACUCGCAUUUCUUCUGGAACAGUUGGAAUUCGAGUGGGGACCAAGCCAGGCCCACGGGCCAAUUCCUGGGCCUGGGAGAGCUCACAUCCUUCUGGCUUCUUCUGCCCCUGGAAUUCUGAAGAUGGCUCCCUGUAGGUAGUGGCUGCUACUUUCCUGCCCCGGCUGGGGAGCCAGUGAGUAUCGUUUGUUUUCCACUUGAUCAAGUGCCUUCAAGGGAGCUUCACGAUGUGCUCAGGCUCAGGCUGGGCUUGGAUCCUCAGCACGUAGCAGUAUUGCUAUUGUGCUUCCAUUUCACGGAUGAGGAAGAGGAGACUCUGAGACAGCAGUGUGCAGGAUCCAGAGCCAGUUGUUAAACUUGCAGGGUGGCAGCCUGAGGGGAGGAGAAGGACCCACAUUUUCUUGGAGCCUUGUCAUGAACUUAUCCUUUUGAUGAUGAUAUUUUAAAUAGCAUAUGGAAUUAUAAUUCAAAUCUUCUAGAGGCUUUCCCUCUUCUACCACUUUGUGGAUCAUUUUAAAUAUGAAGAGGCUGGGGGCGGGGCUCCCUCUUCUGUGAUUUGCAGGUAUAGUCCUGAUCCUUGGUCAUUAGGUUUGCUGAGGGGUUGACUGACCCAGGUGCUCCACCUUUGAAAUUGUCCCCAUGCAACCUACCGUUCCCUGUAUCAGUCACAGGAGUUCUGUGUGUGUGUGUGUAUUGGUGGGGGGAUGUGGGACAAUGCACCUCCAAAAAUGGAAUUUUCUCUCUCCGUCUCUGCUUCACUUAGUGUUGAACAAGCCAGCAUCCGAUGACCUUCUGCUAGUAUCAUGUCUGGGGCUGUGAUCCUGACUGCACAGGACCUGUGGAGAACUGUAACUCACCUUAAUAGGAAUCUUCUGAAAACGUUGGAGGAAAGGAAUGUAAACUGGUCUUAUUGCCCUUGGUAACCAUAAUAGAAGUAUUUGACCCCAACAGGUAUUUCCCCCCCAGGUGUGGAAGGCUUUUUGUUUUCUCAUUUCACAGGUAGGACCAAAUAUAGCUGCAGCAGGGAGAGUCCCAGAUGUGGUUGUCUGUAUGUGUGUGGAGAGAAGUUGCUGGUGUCACUCAGGGAAGUCAGAGAAGAUUGUUUUCCUUUCCACAGACAAACUUUCUUCUUAAGAGGUACUCAAAGGCUUCUCAUUUGCAAAAAAAAAAAAAAAAAAAAAUCUUUCUGAAGCAACAAGUUUGUGAGCUUAAGUGCUUCUUAGCUCAUGACAAGGAUCAGUAACAUCGUGGGAGACCGUGCAGUCCAAUAUGGGAACCACCAGCCACAUAAGCAUAUGUGCAUUUAAAGUCAGGGACCACAUAAUGAUGUUUGAUUAGUUAUGAUGAACUGCAUAUAUGAUGGUGGUCCCAUGAGAUUUUAUCACCUACUGAUGUCAUAGCUGUCUCAGUUUGUGUAAAUACAUCAUAUGAUUUCACACAAUGAUGAAAUUGCCUAACUACGCAUUUCUCAUAGCAUAUCUCCAUCAUGAAGCAAAGCGUUACUUCUAAUUAAAAUGAAAUCAAAUUAAAUCUUCAGUUCCUCAGUUGCUUUAGUUAUAUUUCAAGGGCUCAAUAGCAUACAUGAAUAGUGGCUACCAUGCUGGACAGAGCAGCUACAGGACAUUUCCAGCAUUCCAGAACAUUCUAUUGGAUGGUGUUACUCUAAGACAAACCUCAUAACAGAAGUUGCCUAAUUGGUCCCAGACAGUGGGGAGCAGCUCCACCUUUGAAAUUGUCCCCAUGCAACCUACUGUUCCCUGUAUCAGUCACAGGAGUGACUAACCUUACCCUGAGGGCCCUGGGUAAGGUUAGAGUGAGGAUAUAGUCUUAUAAAUCUGUACAGAUGCACAGGUAAAGUCACUGGAGUGAAAGCUGAAUUCAUUAAGUCCCAAGUUUUCAGUGCUAUUAUAAGAUGACAUAUGAUGACACUUUAAUAAAUAUUUAUUUCUUAAAUAUUCCACUUGGUUCAAUGUCACUUGAG